AAAACUUUUAACAACGGAUCUCUUGGUUCUGGCAUCGAUGAAGAACGCAGCGAAAUGCGAUAAGUAAUGUGAAUUGCAGAAUUCAGUGAAUCAUCGAAUCUUUGAACGCACAUUGCGCCCGCCAGCAUUCUGGCGGGCAUGCCUGUUCGAGCGUCAUUUCAACCCUCAAGCU
rnacentral:rRNA from 1 species